UACGUAGGGUGCGAGCGUUGUCCGGAAUUAUUGGGCGUAAAGAGCUCGUAGGCGGUGUGUCGCGUCGGCCGUGAAAACCUGGGGCUUAACUCUGGGCGUGCGGUCGAUACGGGCAUCACUAGAGUUCGGCAGGGGAGACUGGAAUUCCUGGUGUAGCGGUGAAAUGCGCAGAUAUCAGGAGGAACACCGGUGGCGAAGGCGGGUCUCUGGGCCGAUACUGACGCUGAGGAGCGAAAGCAUGGGUAGUGAACAGG
rnacentral:rRNA from 1 species